AUACGGAGGAUCCGAGCGUUAUCCGGAUUUAUUGGGUUUAAAGGGUGCGCAGGCGGGAUGUUAAGUCGGCGGUGAAAUUUUGCAGCUCAACUGUAAAAGUGCCUUCGAAACUGUCGGACUUGAGUGUAAAUGAGGUAGGCGGAAUGCGUGGUGUAGCGGUGAAAUGCAUAGAUAUCACGAGGAACUCCGAUUGCGCAGGCAGCUUACUAAACUACUACUGACGCUCAGGCACGAAGGCGUGGGGAUC
rnacentral:rRNA from 1 species